rnacentral:lncRNA from 1 species
UGGCGGCUGGAAAGCGGGUCGGAUAGUUAGGUUUCCCUAGCUCUCUCCUUUUUCUUCUUCUGUCGUCGUCGUACUAUCAUCCCUAUUUCAGUUUGCUUAGCUCUAAAGACUCCUCCUAUAGUGGUAUCAUCGGAAUCGCCAGAAGAAGAGAAAAGAGAAGCUGUGGCAAGACAAAGGUAGUGUCGCCAGGCCGCCAUACCCAGUGGCGGUGGCCUGGUGCGGUUGUGUCGCGUCUGUUUUCGGUCGGUAUUUGGUGGUGUUUCGAGUAAGUACUAUGUGUUUGUGUCGAGUGCUGGGUGAGUGGAUCUGAAAGUGGGUUCUAGAUUGGAGCUGUUUUCGCGUCUUAUUAAGAUUAUAUUACAACAGAAAUCUUGCUUUGCUUUGGUUUCGUAUCUGAGGCCUCCGUUUUUGGGUGCUCCACUCCACUAGAUGGAUGAUAGAUACUCCCUCUGUUCCUAAAUACUUGUCUUUCUAGACAUUUCAACAAGUGACUACAUACGAAGCAAAAUGAGUGAAUCUACACUCUCUAAAAUGUGUCUACAUACAUCCGUAUGUAGUAGUCAUUUGAAAUGUCUAGAAAGACAAGUAUUUAGGAACGGAGGGAGUAGAUGAUAGAUGGUGCGAAGCUGACCGGGCAAGGGCAAAGCUGGCAAAAGGUGUGGCUUCUUUUGGGGGCCGUUGCAUCUGUGCUUUGCUUGUGGUUCCGUUUGGGGAAGGAAAAGCAGUGGGGUGCUUGGUUGAGUGCUGUGUUGCCUCACUGCUAUCCCACUUGACAUGCUUGCUUCAGAAUUUCGAUGCCUGUUUUUGGUUGCUUGGUGAGUGGUAUGUGAAUAAAUGUCUCUGUCAGUGGGUCACUGGUUUGCAUCCAAAAGAGGUGUCAAGGUCGGCUUAAAAAGAAUGAGCCUGGAUCGAUCACCAGCUGCUGUGUGUCAUGGUGGUGUCACUACUUGUCACAGCACCACCCCAUGGUUCAUUUUUUAUUUUCCCAGGGAAAUUGGGACCUAACAAAAAAUGUAGCUCACUGAACACAUACUACUAGCAGCUACCUAACAAUUGUUUCUUACUGUAUUUGUUAAGCUGCCGGAUUAAGACUCCCCGUAGGUAGCUUUGAGCGGCGGGAGAAAGAAGAUAAUUAUCUCUUGAUAGCUGUCCAACUCGACCGGAGAAAUCAGGAAAGAGCAGUAGACUGAUCAGAUAUCUGAAGAAGCCCGGCCGUGCACCGCGUCGAGGUGGCCCUGCGGCUCAAGGGCGUUCCCUACGAGUUCAUCCAGGAGGACCUCAACAACAAGAGUGAGCUGCUGCUGGAGCACAACCCCGUGCACCGCAAGGUGCCGGUGCUCCUCCACGGCGGCCGCCGGCCGGCCCUCUGCGAGUCGCUGGUCAUCGUCGAGUACGUCGACGAGGCCUUCCCCCGUGGCCCCGCUCUCCUGCCGGCCGACCCGCUUCAUCGACGACGAGUGCGGGGCGUGCACGUGGGUGGCGCUGUGGGGGGAGGGCGAGGGAGGCGGUUCUUCGGCGGCGACCACGUCGGCUUCCUCGACGUCGCCGCCAGCGGGCUCGCGUGCUGGCUGGGGGUGUUCGAGGAGAUGGCCGGGGUGGCGCUGCUCGCCGAGGACGAGCACCCGGCGCUGUGCCGGUGGGCGAGGGAGUACGUCGCGGACGAGGCCGUCAGGGGGUGCCUGCGUGACAGGGAGGCGCUGCUCGCCGCGCUGGCCGCCAGGGAGGACAAGUACGUGUCCACCGCCAGGGCAAUGGCUCACAAGUAGACACGAUCAUGCUGCUCUGCUCUGGACCUCUGGUGAUCCGUUCAUGAAUUUGAUACUUGGAACCUAUUUGGAGGCCGGCCGGAUCGUUGGCAGGCAAAUGAAUGGAUUUGUUAAGGUGUUUUUCUUUAGAAAUUUCGCACACAUUAAACAUAUGUCAAAUUACAGCACGGAAUCCAUGAGAGAAACAGAGAGAGGACGUGUGUCCAGGAACAUUUGCAUUAAAAACUCGAUUGAAGCAGAUUUCUGCAAACCCCGUCCUCAUCGCUUGUUGUCUUCAAAGACGAAGAAACACCAUGACACAUGAGUUCAAACAUCGACAACCGGGGAAUGAAGUUUUAUUCCAAAGGUCGGCACCACCGCACCACCGUCAUCCAAACGCCGCCAUAGAACACACUAAACCUAACCCUAACUACAACCGAGGCAGAGAGCAACCCACGGCCUUGCUGGCAGUGCGCGGGAGGAGUUGGCCGCCUCCCCGAUUGAUUUUUUCCUGGAUGAGAGGGAUUCAUGGUUGAAUCAACGAUGUGAAUAUACUGUGCGGCAAUUUUGAACUCAUGACGGCAUUGCUUGUUGCCAACUAGUAAAUGUAAGCAAGGAAAAAAAAUAAAAAAGAAAUUGUCAGAAGUGGGGUUUGAACCCACGCCCUCGUUAGAGGACCAGAACUUGAGUCUGGCGCCUUAGACCACUCGGCCAUCCUGACUUGUACGACAACUACAGUUUUAGAACAUAUCUAUAGAUUAUUACUACUCCGCACCUGCAUCUGUAUAACAGUGUGUAUUUUUUUUGCCUUCUCCGUAUAACAUUGUGUAAAUUGAAGUACUAGUGCAUGACAACUUAUUCAGCAGACACUCCAUCUGAGAACCGUUCCUUCCUACAAGUAAAUUCCUAUCCAUGCCAACAUUUAUCAGUUCAGCAUCGGCUUCAGGGUUCCUGAAUAAAAACUGAAACACACUACAUACAUGUUUUUGAAUUGCAAAAAACGAAGAUCAUGUAGUUCUUUUCUGAUGCUCAUUCCGGUAUCGAGCUGUUCCUAUCUACUCCCUUCAUUUAGAAUUACUUGUCGCAGAAAUGGAUGUAUCUAGACGUAUUUUAGUUCUACAACAACAACAACAACAAAGCCUUUAGUCCCAAACAAGUUGGGGUAGGCUAGAGGUGAAAUCCAUAAGAUCUCACAACCAACUCAUGGCUCUAGCACAUGGAUAGCAAGCUUCCACGCACCCCUGUCCAUAGCCAGCUCUUUGUCGAUACUCCAAUCCUUCAGGUCUCUCUUAACGGACUCCUCCCAUGUCAAAAUCGAUCGACCCCGCCCUCUCUUGACAUUCUCCGCACGCGUUAGCCGUCCGCUAUGCACUGGAGCUUCUGGAGGCCUGCGCUGAAUAUGCCCAAACCAUCUCAAACGAUGUUGGACAAGCUUCUCCUCAAUUGGUGCUACCCCAACUCUAUCUCGUAUAUCAUCAUUCCGGACUCGAUCCUUCCUCGUGUGGCCACACAUCCAUCUCAACAUACGCAUCUCCGCCACACCUAACUGUUGAACAUGUCGCCUUUUAGUCGGCCAACACUCCGCGCCAUACAACAUUGCGGGUCGAACCGCCGUCCUGUAGAACUUGCCUUUUAGCUUUUGUGGCACUCUCUUGUCACAGAGAAUGCCAGAAGCUUGACGCCACUUCAUCCAUCCGGCUUUGAUUCGAUGGUUCACAUCUUCAUCAAUACCCCCAUCCUCCUGCAACAUUGACCCCAAAUACCGAAAGGUGUCCUUCCGAGGUACCACCUGGCCAUCAAGGCUAACCUCCUCCUCCUCACAGCUAGUAGUACUGAAACCGCACAUCAUGUACUCGGUUUUAGUUCUACUAAGCCUAAACCCUUUCGAUUCCAAGGUUUGUCUCCAUAACUCUAACUUCCUAUUUACCCCCGUCCGACUAUCAUCAACUAGCACCACAUCAUCCGCAAAGAGCAUACACCAUGGGAUAUCUUCUUGUAUACCCCUUGUGACCUCAUCCAUCACCAAUGCAAAAAGAUAAGGGCUCAAAGCUGACCCCUGAUGCAGUCCUAUCUUAAUCGGGAAGUCAUCGGUGUCGACAUCACUUGUUCGAACACUUGUCACAACAUUAUUGUACAUGUCCUUGAUGAGGGUAAUGUACUUUGCUGGGACUUUGUGUUUCUCCAAGGCCCACCACAUGACAUUCCGCGGUAUCUUAUCAUAGGCCUUCUCCAAGUCAAUGAACACCAUAUGCAAGUCCUUCUUAUGCUCCCUAUAUCUCUCCAUAAGUUGUCGUACCAAGAAAAUGGCUUCCAUGGUCGACCUCCCAGGCAUGAAACCAAACUGAUUUUUGGUCACGCUUGUCAUUCUUCUUAAGCGGUGCUCAAUGACUCUCUCCCAUAGCUUCAUUGUAUGGCUCAUCAGCUUAAUUCCACGGUAAUUAGUACAACUCUGAACAUCCCCCUUGUUCUUGAAGAUUGGUACUAAUAUACUCCGUUUCCAUUCUUCUGGCAUCUUGUUUGCCCGAAAAAUGAGGUUGAAAAGCUUGGUUAGCCAUACUAUCGCUAUGUCCCCGAGACCUUUCCACACCUCAAUGGGGAUACAAUCAGGGCCCAUCGCCUUGCCCCCUUUCAUCCUUUUUAAAGCCUCCUUCACCUCAGACUCCUGGAUGCGCCGCACAAAACGCAUGCUGGUCUCAUCAAAGGAGUCAUUCAGUUCAAUGGUAGAACUCUCAUUCUCCCCAUUGAACAGCUUGUCGAAGUACUCCCGCCAUCUAUGCUUAAUCUCUUCGUCCUUCACCAAGAGUUGGCCUGCUCCGUCCUUGAUGCAUUUGACUUGGCCAAUAUCCCUCGUCUUCCUCUCCCGGAUCUUAGCCAUCUUAUAGAUGUCCCUUUCACCUUCCUUCGUGCCUAACCGUUGGUAGAGGUCCUCAUAUGCCCGACCCCUUGCUUCACCAAUAGCUCGCUUUGCGGCCUUCUUCGCCAUCUUGUACUUCUCUAUGUUGUCUGCACUCCUAUCCAGGUAUAGGCGUCUGAAGCAAUCUUUCUUCUUUUUAAGCGCCUUCUGGACAUCAUCAUUCCACCACCAGGUAUCCUUAUCUUCGCUUCUCCUUCCCCUGGACACUCCAAACUCCUCUGAGGCCACCUUACGAAUGCAAGUCGCCAUCUUCAUCCAUACAUUGUCCGCAUCCCCUCCUUCCUCCCAAGGGCCCUCCUUAAAUACCCACUCCUUGAACACCUGAGCUACCUCCCCCUUGAGCUUCCACCACUUCGUUCUAGCGAUCUUGGCACGCUUAUCCCGCUGGACACGAAUCCGAAAGCGGAAGUCAGCAACCACCAGCUUAUGCUGGGGUACAACACUCUCCCCAGGUAUCACCUUACAGUCUAGGCACGCACGCCUAUCUUCUCUUCUCGAGAGGAUGUAUUUUAGUUCUAAAUACAUCUAUUUCCAAGACAAAUAAUUUGGAACGGAGGGAAUACCUAGCAAAGAGAGCACAAGGACGAGGAGAAACCACCUAUCCUCAAGCCGCUGGAUAUGAGGCUGCGGUGACACCCAAUCGGCCUCGAGUCUCAAGGGGAAGGAAGCUAGGCUAGCACCUUCCCCUUCUCCGCUAGCUAUCACUCACUCCAGCGCUCCGCUCCGAUGGCCGCCGCCUCCUUCCUCCCCCUCCACCUCCCGGCCUCCCCGAGGCCGGCCACCGUGGCCGCGAGGGCAGCCUCGGGCGUGGCGUCGACGGUGCCCGCCGCCACGCAGACGUCGCAGCUGGAGGAGACGUUCGGCCGGAAGGGCCUCCGGUUCGGGACGGACGCCACGGGCGCGCCCACGGCGGAGCUGAGCGUGCGCAACGGCAGCUCGCUGCAGCUGCGGCUCAACGACGGGCUGGUCACGUCGUACCGGCCCAAGGUGUCCUGGGAGGGCGGGGACGGCUGCCGGGAGCUGCUCCACACCGUGGCCGCCGCCGGCGCGGUCAAGGGCGGCGUCGGGCUGGUGCUCAACGAGGCCUCCUCGUCGUCAUCGCUGCUCGGCGCGUCGGAGUGGUCGGUGGCGGACGUGGACUCGGACUCGUACGACGCGGUGCAGGUGGAGCUCGGGUGCGGCGUCGGCGGGGCCAAGCUGGAGGUGUCGUACGUGGUGACGCUGUACCCGCUGAGCAUGGCGACGGCGGUGAUCGUCAAGAACAACGGGGCCAAGCCGGUGGAGCUGACGGGCGCCGUGCUGAGCCACAUCAAGUUCGACAAGCGGCGGGGCACGGCCGUGGAGGGCCUCCGGGGGUGCCCCUACUGCUCCCACCCGCCGCCGGCGGCCGGGUUCGCGCUGCUCACCCCCGCCGAGGCCAUGAAGCGGGAGGAGUCCGGGUGGUUCGGCGGCGGCGGCGGGGAGGAGCCCCGGCAGGGCGCCUGGACCGUGGAGGAGAACCUCUACACCAUCCUCAAGAAGAAGGCGAGCAGGGUGUACGCGGCGCCGCCGGAGGAGAGGAAGAAGCGCAUCUACAGCACCGCGCCCUCCAAGUUCACCACCAUCGACCAGGUUCGUUCGUUUCUUGGGAUGCAUGCAAUGUACUGUAUGAUAAUCAUUCAUCGAUCGCUUUGCUCACUGAUAAUAUUUGGACUGUGGUGCAGUCUAGCGGGCUGGGGUUCAGGCUGGUGAGGAUGGGGUUCGAGGACCUGUACCUGAGCAGCCCGGGAGGACUGUACGAGAAGUUCGGCAACGACUACUUCCUCUGCACCGGGCCGGCGUCCAUCCUCGUGCCCGUCGUCGUCGGCCCCGGCGAGGAGUGGAGGGGGGCACAGGUCAUCGAGCACGACAACUUGUAACUGCUUUUUUCUUGCGUGCCAACAGAGUUACACAAGAAAUCAUGUACAUUCUCACAUGGGGAUGAAUCUUGUAACUACCCAUUGCGAUCAAUAUGUACACAUGCAGUAGAUUACUUGCCCAUCUCGUAACUAACAUACAAAUGAAUUUUCAAAAAAAUUACAUGGUCACGUGUGAAGAAGACUUGAAAACCUCAAAGGAAGUUAUGCUUUGGAAAAUAACAAGCAUAAAGUUGGACACUCCCUCAUAGAAUUCACUGUAUCAGCUCAACAUAAUCCACAUAACUCCAGACACAAUCAUCUGGUACAAAAGAACCAAGCGCUGGUGGCAACAUAAUCGCGGUAAGCACCACCUAUUUCUGAGAAUGUUUACUCAAGUAAACCCGCAUCCUUGAGAGCAGUCUCAAAAUUGUCCUCGCUUUUCCAGUUGGGGACCUCAGGCACUUUGUGCUGGAAGUAGUCCUCGAUCUUUGUCAUCACAACUUCAUCAGUUUGACCACAUAGCAGGUUGAACACAGCUCCUGUCACCACCAAAAAUUCAGUUAGGCCACAAGAUAAGCACUCUACUCAACACAGAUUAGCUGAUAAACUGGCAUAACAAAAUGUAUGUUUCAAAAUGAUAAAUCAUGAACACAAUCAAAGGAAAUCAAUUGACUGUCUCAAGAAAUAGGAGAUCACAACUUCUUAAGAAAAAAUUAAAUGGAACAAACAACAUGAGGCCGAUAAUCAACAAACAAUGGUCACAUCAGUUCUAUCUUAUCCUAAUAAAGGAUGCUAAAAAUCCUAUUGCAAAAUCCUACUCACAGAAGACUGGUUCUGCCGACAAAUUCAAUCUUAGGCUAGGACAAACAGGCAUUAGGAUUGACUAAAUGUAGCGUGUUUGCUUAUCACUGAUAACAGGUUCAAUCUGCCAUUAACCCCAAGCCAUUUAAUUCCUAUCAACACCAUUAAUGUCUGUCACAGCGUUGACAAAAUAUGCUUACAAUGGUGUAUGUACAUAGACUGCUAGACAAAUUUACCUUUUCGGCCAAAGCGUCCAGCUCUGCCAAUUCUGUGCAGGUACACCUCAUAAUCAGGUUCAUCUCUCGUAUUAUACUUGAUUGGCAUAUCGUAGUUGAUGACCAGGUUAACCUUUCAAAGUUAGAAUGUUAGUAGGAAAAUUUAUACUGGUGUGUCAAAAACUCAAAAUAGCACAGCGCGCAUAGUACCUGUGCUUGGUCAAACCCACGAGCAAGAACAUCAGUUGAUAUAAGAACCUUGGUGUAUCCAUCUUUGAAUUCCUGAAUUACUUUUUCCCUCUCUGCUUGGUCAAGGGAUCCUUGAAUUGAGGAGCACACAUAGUCCUCUUUUGUCAAAGCAUUAUGUACAUUCUUAGUACUAUUUCUUGUCCUCACAAAGAUGAUAACCUGUCCAACCUUUUGCCCAAACUCAAAGAUCUUGUCCCUUAUAACCUCUAUUUUGGCCGCCUCAUCAGGGACUCGGACUUUAUAUUGCUUUACUUUUUCCAAAGUAAGAUCUUCCUUCUUCACAAAUAUUUGGUUUCCGUCCUUAAUGACCCUUGUAACAAAUUCCUUCACUUUCUCGUUGAAGGUCGCAGAGAAGAGAAGCACCUGUUAUAAAUAGAAUUAAAAUAAGUAAAAGAGGACCUCCGCAAAUAAAGAGAGUAAAAGAGGCACCAUAUAGAAACAGAAACAAUCACAUCUAACCAAGAAUUUAGAAAUUAUAUAGCCAAGGCUAGUUGAAUGGCACAGCCAUGGAAUUACACCGACAGUUACAAGCAUUACAAAAGAUUAUCCACCACAUGGACAAGGCUAGUUGAGGACUGAAAGUAUAUCAACACCAUCAAUGGAUGAACUUGAAAAAACUAGGGCAAUAACAGCAGCUGAUUGGCUAUAAGAUUAUGAUAAUAGGAGUGCCCAAAUGUGCAAUUAACUAAUUACAUAGAACAUACAAUAGUAUAUGAUUCUUUCUAUUCCUAAAAUUAUCAACUUCGGAGAUGCCCCACGCAUGAACAUGCAGCCUUCCAAAAAAUAAAGAAAAUGAAUAUCACAAUAAAAAAACAUACAAAUUGAACACAACCCACUGCAUAAAGAAAAUGACUCUUUUCCAAAGCCUCUACCUAUCAUUAGCAAUUGAUGACAAGUUCAACAAGCAGCACAUGAGCACAUACAAAGCAUAGGAACAGGUUGUCUCCCUUAAUAGCCUACCAAGUCCCAACAUUCAAAAUACUCACAUCUGAUUUUGAAAUGUAACCAAGGUGCAAGCUGUUGUGUGUGAUUCUACUGCCACAGUCAAAAGUAGUCAGUUCACUAAAAAAGGGUUACCUGACAGCCACCAGCACUAUUUUGUAUAUCCUUCAUGAUCCUUAAAGAAUCAGUUUUAAAGCCCUCCUGCAAGAAGCAUUCAACAGGGUAAGAAACUGGACUCAUUCAAUCACAAAAGCAACUAGUUUACAUGAGAGCCCGCAACGUCGGAAUUUUGAGCGCCUCAAAUUUGGUUCCAGUUAUAUGAAUAUUUCUACUGUGGGUACUCCAUAAUGAUUUAUGUCCUUGGAAAACAGAUGCCUUUUUCUGUUAUUUUUAUCCACUCAGACCAAACAGAAACCAAGAGUUUUUGGUCAUCACACCUAACAUAACACGACCGCACCAUGAUGACACCCCUUAAUGCCCACUAGGAUAUCAGGAGUACAAACUAUACAGGCCGCAUUCUUUCAUAGUCUAAUUCACUGACUCAUACUAGACUAAAGGUUAUUUCAAUUUCAAUUUCAACUAAGCCACAAGAAAGUUACCUACCACAGAGGAAGCAAGUUAGUGGCAAGUCUAGCAAGUAAGUGCCACUGCUUUGCUUCUUUGCUCUUGCGGAUAGUUAUCGGUGUACAUCUCAUGGCUAUGAAGGGGAAGGUCUAAGGGACUUAACCUCAAAACACCCUCAUUGUUUGCUGCUAAGAAACAUCUGCUCUAUUUCUUACAAGGACAUGAAGGCUCGAAUGAAUAUUGCCGUCAAUGCCAUUAUUGUUUGUAGCUGAGAAAUAACACCUGUAAUGAGUAUGGACCUAACAUCCUUCUCCCUUCACUAUUAGCAUGUGUCUUACACUAAACUACAGUAAGUCGCCCGGAAAACACUGGGUGUAAUGAGUAUGGACCUUAUUAUCCUUCUCGCUUCACUGUUAGCAUGUGUCUUACACUAAACGAACAGUAAGUCACCCUUAAAACACUGGGCGCAUCAAGGACACAAAUAGAUCGAUGACAAGAGAACUAAGCUGUACCUCAGCAAGCAUAUGAUCUGCCUCGUCGAACACAAGAAUCUUGAUCUCCCUAGUCGCAAGCUUCUUAUGGGUGAUCCACUUGGUGAGCGUCCCAGAAGUGCCAAUCACCACCUGAUCGGUCACCGGAGCCAUUUUGCUGAUGGGCAUAUACUCUUUCUGAGACGACGGGAUUGCACAGGCACAGGUGAUGCCGGUAAACUUGCCCAUCCUCAUGAGCACAGAUUUAUUCUGCACAGACCAACCAAUCAAAAUCAGUACAGUACAUUACAGGGUAUAAAACUAACAGAAUCAAGCUUCAUACUGCAGUUUGUUAUUAUAUCUAAUAACCAGAUGAGAGCACAUUUGCAGAGCGUGGUAGUGGAGAGGAUCAAGCCAAGAGACGUACCUGCUGCGCGAGCUCCCUGGUGGGGCAGAUGCAGAUGGCCUGGGGGACCUUGCGGUUGGGGUCGACGCGGCUGAGCAUGCCGAGGACGAAGCAGGUGGUCUUGCCGGAGCCGUUGUGCGCCUGCGCGACGAGGUCCCUGUGGGGCGGCGUGAGGAUCAUGGGGAGCGUGAUGGCCUGGAUCUUGCUGGGGCGGCUGAACCCCAUCUCGUCGUGCAGCCCCUUGAGCAGCUCGGGGGUGAGCUUCACGUCCUCGAAGGUCGUGGCCGACUCGUACACCGUGCCGCCCGAGGUCACCUGGAGAAGCAAAGCACCGAAUCAGCAGCCGGCCGACAUCGAGAGGCGGCGGCGGCGGGGAGCAGAGCGGAGCGGAGAGGCGCGUACGGCCUGGAUUUGGGAGUCGUCGGAGUCGUCGAGCAGGGGCGGGCCCUCGGGGCCGCCGCCGUCGUCGUCCGGCACGGAGAGCGAGAGCGCCUCGAUCUGCUUCGCCUGCGCCUCCACCGCCGGCUCGAUGGGGGCGGAGGAGGAGGAGGCGGAGGAGGCGGCGGCGGCGAGCUCGGCCUCCGCCUCCGCUUUGGCCUUGGCCUCCUCCUCCUCCUCGACGUCGGCCCAGGACUUCUUCUCCGGCUCGGGCUUGGCGGCGCCGGCGUCGGCCAUCGGAGCAGAUCGGGAAGGAUCGAUGGCGAUGAGAGCUGCUUCAGCUAGAGUCGGUUCGCGUUUUUCCGGGUUUGCUCCCGAUUUGGGAGGGGAUCGAUUAUAUUGUGCUGCGUGAGGUGUUUUUUUAGCUUGGCAUGUAAGCGGAGCGCUGCUUAAGAUUUACGCGCACGCGGUCUCAGGCGGUUAAUUUUUUUUUAUUGGUUCUCAGGCGGUUAAUGCCGAGCGCCCCCUGAGCGUCAAAUAAUAAGGCCUCUUUUGGUUCAUAGGAUAGGAUUAUCAUAGGAAUAGAAAAUUUAUAGAAAAUGAGAUGACAUGUAACUCAAAUCCUAUGAGUAGGAAUAGGAAACGAGAUGUCAUUUAGUUCACAUCAAAGGAAUUUUUUCAUUGAGUCUAGGCUCAUUUUUAUUUUCCUAUAAAAUGUGAAGGAUAGGAACCAAUCCUAUGUAGAAAUAGGAAUCCAUUCCUAUGAACCAAAUGGCUCUAAAGGAAAAAAUCCUAUAAGAAUCAUAUCCUUUAGAAUUCCUAUGAAAUUCCUACAAACCAAAGAAGGCCUAAAUGGGGCAAAGGUCCACGCCUACCGGGCGCCCACAACCCAAUAACAUAUUUUUUCUUUCUUUCAGAAAUUGUAUUUUAAAAGUUUUUGUUUAUUUUUUAUGUUAAGACAAGUUUAAGAAAUGGAACAAAACCACAAGUAAACGGAAAUGUUAAAAGUCCGACAUCAGAUUUUUAGUGCUGAAAAUGUCUGUCAUGCAAAAACAGAUAGAAUUGUCAUGCUUAUGUAUCAUAAUUUGCCAUGUUCUACAGUGAACAUUGCCGUGCAAUGUAAAACAGAAAAAAUGUCAUGCAACAACAAUUAAUUGAUGUGCGUUCAAUCGGGGCCUCACGUACCAGAGGGUGCCAGAUUUUAACCCUAAGAAUUUGAUGUCAGAUUUAUAUUGAAAUCCCAGAUAAAAUCGGCUGCGCAUGCGAUAUGCAUUUUGUCGGCAAUUUGAUACAACAAUGCUAAUCCCUGUUUCACGGACGAGAGUGCCUUAGCCCGCAACUCUCAAGUUGGAUUUUCGAUCGAACAUGAACACACGUUCCCAUAGGUUGGUCUUUUAGAUGUUGUAACAUAAAAAUAACCAAAUCCUGAGUCGGCCAAGGUACAAUUGUUUCGCAAUCCGUAGGAGUGGCCUAUAAACUAUUACGGGUUAGUUUUUGCCUGUCUCUAAAGAAUAGGUUUUUGUAGCCACUGAUAGCCAUAUAUCUCAACGUGAGGUUUCCCAUGGUUUCUCUAAUACGGUUUUGAUUCCUGCUCUAUCAUGUGUGCACACGCUGACUAAGGGGAUGGCUUGCGCGUAUAACUAGCAGUGUGUGAUCUAAGUUUUAUUGCAUUCCGUUCUCCGGUGCUGGUGGCGGCACAAUUCUCUUCCGCGACGAGUCGGGAGGGUCUGGAGAGGCGUGCAUCAAUGAUCUCCUGCAAACAUAUGGGCCCCGAUGAGAAAGGACUUUGAUGAUCUCAUGUGUGAAAAGUUGUAGAUGUGGCAAAGCAAGAAGUCAACUAGUCAAGUGUAUGCUCAUUGCUGGAGUUCAAAUGAGCAAUCCUUUCAUGCUAAGCACGUUAUGGUCAUAUGAAUGCGGCCUAGAGUCCAAUGAAGGAGAUUAGAUUUAGGACUUUAGAGGAUAAUAUGUCCAUGAUUUGGAGCUUCUGCUUAGUGUAUUGGAAGAAGGUGAUAAAGGGAGGUUCAUCGCUCUUUCAAAAUGAUGGCAUGAUAAUCGAACCAUAUGAUGGUCUGUCGGCCCCGAAGUUGAUUGGUCGGAAUCAUAUCACUAUUUUGGAUCCAAAUUGCAAGAUCUCCAUGUGCAAAAUUGAAAGAACAUGCGGUGUCCCCAUGUUUGGUUUUGGUAAUUGAUGACAAUCUCUAUGGACUAAUGGUUUCCUUGAGUUAGAUUUGAAGGUUUUGUCCAUAGGUUUUUCUUGGAGUGCAUGUGUUAAUUUCAAGGAGAGUUUGUGUCGACCAAGGUGUUAUUCAAGGAAUUAUCCAAAGAUUGGUCAUGUGAGAGUUGAGUUUAUUGCAAGCAUGUCUUGAAGAAGAAGAUUGUGUGAUUAUUCAUGUCUACCUUCAAGACAUCAUUCAAAUGAAGAGAAUUGAAAAGGUUCAAGGUUGAUCAAGACUAAGUCAAGAGUGAAUCAAAUUGAUCAACUCACAAAGCGCAGAAGAUGUACCGAGAGGGAUCAAGUGAUCCCAUGGUAUGGUAAGAAUUAUCAAUUACGCUUUGUGUACUAACCCAUGGUCUUCGUGAGAGUUCUUUGUGGGGUUAGGUUGCGGUGUGCAAGUUCAAGUGGAGCAUCACGAAGAAAUCAAAUGCUUGAAGCUUGCCGUCCUUUGUGGUGAUAAUGGACUUGUGAAGAUGUGCGGAAGAGUGGCUCACCCAUAGUGGAGUAUGGAGGAGCAAUCAACUAGUCUUCAUCGGGUCAACACAAUCAAGAAAGGUGGUCCAACUUGAGGGAGUCAAGAUUGUCAUCAUCUAGCUCAAGUGGACCAUGUGCAAGGCAAAGGUUUGCCCUUGAUAGGUUUUCUAUUUUACCGGUCUCAUGAUGGUAGUUGGGAGACCGGGUUAUAGGAUCGAUUGCCGUACUAUCAAGGGGGGCUCUCGAUGAGUAGCUUGAUCGUAUCGUUCGUAGAGAGCUCAAACCAUUGCAUACUUACAUCAUCUUUCUUGGUUCUUGUUUGGUUCUCUUUGUGAGUCUUAGAGCUUAUGGUCAUCUUGAUGACAAGCUUGAGUUCACCGAAAACGGAGUUCGCAUGCAUCUUCUAUGAUGUUUUCGUUGUUGGAGGUUUUGCCGUUCUUCUCGGUUGGAGGUUUCACUCCUCUAUUUGUUGGCAUACCUCCCCUGCCUCUUCUUACUAUAUCCAGUCGCAGUUUUGAUGCUACUCGUCGUCUUGUUUCCAACUGUUGGGGAACAUAGUAAUUUCAAAGAAAUUCCUACGCACACGCAAGAUCAUGGUGAUGCAUAGCAACGAGAGGGGAGAGUAUGAUCUACGUACCCUAGUAGAUCGACAACGGAAGCGUUAACUUGGUUGAUGUAGUCGUACGUCUUCACGGCCCGACCGAUCAAGCACCGAAACUACGGAACCUCCGAGUUCUAGCACACGUUCAGCUCGAUGACGAUCCCCGGACUCCGAUCCAGCAAGGUGUCGGGGAAGAGUUCCGUCAGCACAACGGCGUGGUGACGAUCUUGAUGUACUACCGUCGCAGGGCUUCGCCUAAGCACCGCUACAAUAUUAUCGAGGACUAUGGUGGAAGGGGGCACCGCACACGGCUAAGAAUAUGAUCACGUGGNNNNNNNNNNNNNNNNNNNNNNNNNNNNNNNNNNNNNNNNNNNNNNNNNNNNNNNNNNNNNNNNNNNNNNNNNNNNNNNNNNNNNNNNNNNNNNNNNNNNNNNNNNNNNNNNNNNNNNNNNNNNNNNNNNNNNNNNNNNNNNNNNNNNNNNNNNNNNNNNNNNNNNNNNNNNNNNNNNNNNNNNNNNNNNNNNNNNNNNNNNNNNNNNNNNNNNNNNNNNNNNNNNNNNNNNNNNNNNNNNNNNNNNNNNCCUCCCUUUCCUUGUCCAAGUAGGAGAGGGGGAAGGAGAGAAGGAAAAGGGGGGGCGCCGCCCCUCCCUCCUUGUCCAAUUCGGACUUAGGGGGAGAGGGGGCGUGCGGCCUGCCCUGGCAGCCCCUCCUCUUCUCCACUUUAGGCCCAUGAGGCCCAUUAAGCCCCGGGGGGGGGGGGUCCGGUAACCCCCGGUGCUCCGGUUUUAUCCGAAACUUCCCCGGAACACUUCCGGUGUCCGAAUAUAGCCGUCCAAUAUAUCAAUCUUUAUGUCUUGACCAUUUCGAGACUCCUCGUCAUGUCCGUGAUCACAUUCGAGACUCUGAACUAACUUCGGUACAUCAAAACUCAUAAACUCAUAAUAUAACUGUCAUCGAAACCUUAAGCGUGCGGACCCUACGGGUUCGAGAACAAUGUAGACAUGACUGAGACACGUCUCCGGUCAAUAACCAAUAGCGGAACCUGGAUGCUCAUAUUGGCUCCUACAUACUCUACGAAGAUCUUUUAUCGGUCAGACCGCAUAACAACAUACGUUGUUCCCUUUGUCAUCGGUAUGUUACUUGCCCGAGAUUCGAUCGUCGGUAUCCCAUACCUAGUUCAAUCUCGUUACCGGCAAGUCUCUUUACUCGUUCCGUAAUACAUCAUCUCACAACUAACUCAUUAGUUGCAAUGCUUGCAAGGCUUAUGUGAUGUGUAUUACCGAGAGGGCCCAGAGAUACCUCUCCGACAAUUGGAGUGACAAAUCCUAAUCUCGAAAUACGCCAACCCAACAUGUACCUUUGGAGACACCUGUAGAGCACCUUUAUAAUCACCCAUUUACGUUGUGGCGUUUGGUAGCACACAAAGUGUUCCUCCGGCAAACGGGAGUUGCAUAAUCUCAUAGUCAUAGGAACAUGUAUAAGUUAUGAAGAAAGCAAUAGCAACAUACUAAAUGAUCGGGUGCUAAGCUAAUGGAAUGGGUCAUGUCAAUCAGAUCAUUCAUCUAAUGAUGUGAUCCUGUUAAUCAAAUGACAACUCUUUGUCCAUGGUUAGGAAACAUAACCAUCUUUGAUUAACAAGCUAGUCUAGUAGAGGCAUACUAGUGACACUCUGUUUGUCUAUGUAUUCACACAUGUAUUAUGUUUCCGGUUAAUACAAUUCUAGCAUGAAUAAUAAACUUUUAUCAUGAUAUAUAAGAAAAUAAAUAAUAACUUUAUUAUUGCCUCUAGGGCAUAUUUCCUUCAGUCUCCCACUUGCACUAGAGUCAAUAAUCUAGAUUACACAGUAAUGAUUCUAACACCCAUGGAGCCUUGGUGUUGAUCAUGUUUUGCUCGUGGAAGAGGCUUAGUCAACGGGUCUGCUACAUUCAGAUCCGCAUGUAUCUUGCAAAUCUCUAUGUCUCCCACCUGGACUAGAUCCCGGAUGGAAUUGAAGCGUCUCUUGAUGUGCUUGGUUCUCUUGUGAAAUCUGGAUUCCUUUGCCAAGGCAAUUGCACCAGUAUUGUCACAAAAGAUUUUCAUUGGACCCGAUGCACUAGGUAUGACACCUAGAUCGGAUAUGAACUCCUUCAUCCAGACUCCUUCAUUCGCUGCUUCCGAAGCAGCUAUGUAUUCCGCUUCACACGUAGAUCCUGCCACGACGCUCUGUUUAGAACUGCACCAACUGACAGCUCCACCGUUUAAUGUAAACACGUAUCCGGUUUGCGAUUUAGAAUUGUCCGGAUCAGUGUCAAAGCUUGCAUCAACGUAACCGUUUACGAUGAGCUCUUUGUCACCUCCAUAUACGAGAAAUAUAUCCUUAGUCCUUUUCAGGUACUUCAGGAUGUUCUUGACCACUGUCCAGUGAUCCACUCAUGGAUUAUUUUGGUACCUCCCUGCUAGACUUAUAGCAAGGCACACAUCAGGUCUGGUACACAACAUUGCAUACAUGAUAGAGCCUAUGGCUGACGCAUAGGGAACAUCUUUCAUUUUCUCUCUAUCUUCUGCAGUGGUCGGGCAUUGAGUCUGACUCAACUUCACACCUUGUAACACAGGCAAGAAUCCUUUCUUUGCUUGAUCCAUUUUGAACUUCUUCAAAAUCUUGUCAAGGUAUGUGCUUUGUGAAAGUCCAAUUAAGCGUCUUGAUCUAUCUCUAUAGAUCUUUAUGCCUAAUAUGUAAGCAGCUUCACCGAGGUCUUUCAUUGAAAAACUCUUAUUCAAGUAUCCCUUUAUGCUAUCCAGAAAUUCUAUAUCAUUUCCAAUCAGUAAUAUAUCAUCCACAUAUAAUAUCAGAAAUGCUACAGAGCUCCCACUCACUUUCUUGUAAAUACAUGCUUCUCCAAAGGUCUGUAUAAAACCAAAUGCUUUGAUCACACUAUCAAAGCAUUUAUUCCAACUCCAAGAGGUUUGCACCAGUCCAUAAAUGGAUUGCUGGAGCUUGCACACUUUGUUAGCUCCCUUUGGAUCGACAAAACCUUCCGGUUGCAUCAUAUACAACUCUUCUUCCAGAAAUCCAUUCAAGAAUGCAGUUUUGACAUCCAUCUGCCAAAUUUCAUAAUCAUAAAAUGCGGUAAUUGCUAACAUGAUUCGGGCAGACUUAAGCAUCGCUAUGGGUGAGAAGGUCUCAUCGUAGUCAACCCCUUGAACUUGUCGAAAACUUUUUGCGACAAGUCGAGCUUUGUAGACAGUAAUAUUACCGUCAGCAUCAGUCUUCUUCUUGAAGAUCCAUUUAUUGUCAAUUGCUUGCCGAUCAUCGGGCAAGUCAACCAAAGUCCAUACUUUGUUCUCAUACAUGGAUCCCAUCUCAGAUUUCAUGGCUUCAAGCCAUUUUUCGGAAUCUGGGCUCACCAUCGCUUCUUCAUAGUUCGUAGGUUCAUCAUGAUCUAGUAGCAUGACUUCUAGAACAGGAUUACCGUACCACUCUGGCGCGGAUCUUACUCUGGUUGAUCUACGAGGUUCAGUAGUAUCUUUGUAACACCCCGGAUGUAACUUUCCAUAUUUGUAUCCAACUCUUGUCGUCUCCGACGCUAAGUUAUAUUUAUUUCUCGGGUUCGGGUCUUUGUCUCCGUGUGUUGUUUUUAUUUUUUCGUGCAUCUCUUACCAUGUCAUCUCGUGCAUUGCAUUUGCAUACAUGUUCAUCUCAUGCAUUUGAGCAUUUUCUCCGUUGUCCGUUUUGCAUUCCGGCGCUUCGUUCUCCUCCGGUGGCCAUUUCCAGCUUUCUUUCAUGUGUGGGGUUCAAACAUUUCUGGACUGGACUGAAACUUGUCAUGCGGCCUUGGUUUACUACCGGUAGACCGUCUGUCAAGUUUCGUAUCAUUUGGACUUCGUUUGAUACUCCAACGGUUAACCGAGGGACCGAAAAGGCCUCGUGUGUGUUGCAGCCCAACACCCCCCAAAUUUGGCCCAAAACCCACCAAACUCUGCUCCAUGUCCUAGAGCGUUCGAUCACGAUCGCGUGGGCAAAAACCGCACCUCAUUUGGACUCUCCUAGCUCCACUUAUGCCUAUUUAUACCCCCUCCAUUCGGAUCUCCUCUUCCCCCGUCCAAACCCUAAAAAAAAAA